rnacentral:lncRNA from 1 species
GAGGUCUGGUAGUAAGUGGAGGCAGCGGUAGAGCCAGAGAUUAGAAAGAAAAUGAAAAAUAAGGGACCCGCCCCUUUUUUUUAUUUUUUCGAUCAUUGGCCGAUCACCGGCAGUCAAAGCCUCUGGGUAAGAUGGCUACCAGGUAGGGGUCAUGACUCAUAGGUGCGACACCAUGGGUGGCGACGCAGGUAGUCGGAAAAAGGGGGAGAG